UUAAUUGAAGAGUUUGAUCAUGGCUCAGAUUGAACGCUGGCGGCAGGCCUAACACAUGCAAGUCGAGCGGCAGCACAGAGGAACUUGUUCCUUGGGUGGCGAGCGGCGGACGGGUGAGUAAUGCCUGGGAAAUUGCCCGGUAGAGGGGGGAUAACCAUUGGAAACGAUGGCUAAUACCGCAUAACCUCGCAAGAGCAAAGCAGGGGACCUUCGGGCCUUGCGCUACCGGAUAUGCCCAGGUGGGAUUAGCUAGUUGGUGAGGUAAGGGCUCACCAAGGCGACGAUCCCUAGCUGGUCUGAGAGGAUGAUCAGCCACACUGGAACUGAGACA
rnacentral:rRNA from 1 species